GUGUUCCUCCGUCAACUGUUAAAUAUUGUUUGUUUCUGUGUUGCCAAAUUGCUAGUUGGUGAUGAAAUGAUGGUCAUUGGUACGUUCGUUUUCAGUAUGCAAAUUGCGUCAUUAAUGUUGACUGUACUGAGUGACGAGUGCAUAGUGUAAUGCAAAUUGUGUCAUUAAUGUUUAAUUGUAGGCCUACUGACGAGUGCAUUGUGUAGUAAACAUUUCCCCAUCCUCAUGUGACAUGGUUUCAUUCUGUAGGCAAACAACAAACCACACUUCACCUGGAAAACAGAGCCAGGACUCACUGUCAGAUGUCUGAAAAUGUACAGUAGGCUACACGCCAGCAGGUCUCACCAUAGUCAACAUCAUCAAGGAUUGUCACUCCGACCUGAGAAGAGGCCCCAUAGAGACACGGACAAGGACCAGCCACUGUUGCCAGUGCACAACUGAGGACCCGACCAGCCUGCUGCCAUCUAUGAUGCUAUAUAGUACCCGCGGAGCGGUCUGAA